rnacentral:lncRNA from 1 species
GAUGGCCAGACAUACACAUGAAAGAGGCUUGGGGGCAUAUCACCUCAGAGAGAAAGAGAAACUCCUACGGGGUUUGAAUCGAUCAUCAAGAAGCUAUUUUAGUUUCAUCUACUAUGAAAGCCUGUGGGGUCUCACCCCUUCUGGAUUGCUGAGGAAGGUUGUUCUGAACACGCCGGGGAGUGAGAGAGAGUGAAUAGGCAGGAGAACGUCAGGAUCUCCAGACUUUUAGACAAGGAGGCCCUGGGGCACAAAAAAUAGUCCGAAUGCAUAAGACCUAGUAUUUGCUAGCACAACAGGGUGACUCCCCUCAAAAAUGAUUGAAUCGUACAUUUAAAAAUCGCUAAAGAGUAUAACUGGAUUGUUUGCAACACAAAUGAUAAAUGCUUGAGGGGAUGGAUACUCCAUUUACUCUGCUGUGAUUAUCAUGCACUGCACGCCUGUAUCAAAAUAUCUCAUAAAACCCAUAAAUAUAUCCACC